rnacentral:rRNA from 1 species
UGGGGAAUAUUGGGCAAUGGGCGCAAGCCUGACCCAGCAACGCCGCGUGAAGGAAGAAGGCCCUCGGGUUGUAAACUUCUUUUGUCAGGGACGAAGAAAGUGACGGUACCUGACGAAUAAGCCACGGCUAACUACGUGCCAGCAGCCGCGGUAAUACGUAGGUGGCAAGCGUUAUCCGGAUUUACUGGGUGUAAAGGGCGUGUAGGCGGGAUGGUAAGUCAGAUGUGAAAACUCAGGGGCUCAACCCUGAGCCUGCAUUUGAAACUAUCGUUCUUGAGUGUUGGAGAGGCAGGCGGAAUUCCGUGUGUAGCGGUGAAAUACGUAGAUAUACGGAGGAACACCAGUGGCGAAGGCGGCCUGCUGGACAAUAACUGACGCUGAGGCGCGAAAGCGUGGGGAGCAAACAGGAUUAGAUACCC